UGAUUCAGAGGAAAUAAUAGAUGGACUUUCACUGGAAAAAUGAAUAUUUUCUGAGUGAAUAAAUGUAUAUAAGUGGUAUAUAAAGGUCAUUGGUGACCUUUAAGACAACUAUUUUCAUUGCAUGAACAGGUCAGAGGCCAAAUCAGAGAGGGUUAAAGAAGGACUAGAUGGUGGUGGAUAAUAAGCCCGUUGAGUGGGAGAGACUGAAGUUGCAAAUGGUAGUGGGAAAAACUGAUUAAAAAAAAUGUUUUGAAGGAAACAGGAGAUGGAAAAAAGAACACAUGUGGGACGAGUAGACUGGCAAGGAGGAAAAAUCGUACCUUCUUAAAAGAGAAAGGAGACCCUGGGAAGUAUCUAAAACUGGGGAGUGACACGAAGU
rnacentral:lncRNA from 1 species